GCAGCUGUGGCAGGCCAUCCCAUGGAGGAUUCCUUCUCCCAUGCUGUGGUCAAGCUGAGAAACCCAUUUUUCUUAGGAUGUCCGGCACAGACACAGAUGAGGUCAGUCCUUGGAAAUAAACAUUACAAGUCUGACAGUGAGAUGAACAUCCGGCCCACUAUCUCAAAAGAACUCCAGUAGUUGCAUGAAUGAGUCCAUAAUGAUCCCUAUUAUGGUCUCCUCAAGACAAGAAAUUCACAGUAUCCAAAGAUACCACCAGAUGAUGGAAACUUAUUUACUCAAGAUUCAGGCAACCUUCAGGCUUGGACUAAUAAGACGCAAGUGACUCAAGCCCCAGGCAAUGACCAUCCCCAGCAAGAGAAAAUCUAAUUAUUUGCCCAUGACAUUUAACAGCAUUACCAUCACUUAAUCCCCCACCAACAGUCCCAUGAGGGUUGCUAUUGAUCAGAAACUGGACCGGUAUAUAUGAAUCUACAAAAUAGGCGCAGGAGAAGGCCACACAUCCCUUGUAUCUGCCUGACUAUUCAAUAAAAUAAUGACUUGAGGUGAAUGGAUUCCACUUUCAGAACCCCCUGUUGCCACUCAUGGAACUCGGAGGUCAAUGUAAUCACACAAAUAUUACAGGGAACGUUGGUCAGGAUUGUGAUGGAAUACUGUCCAUUUGCCUGGAUGAGUACAACUUUAACAACACUCAAGAAACUCAACACCAUCCAGGACAAAGCAGUCGGCUUGUUUGACACCCCAUCUGUAUCAUCACUGCCUGUGAUUUUUGUGUGAUUGCAUCCAGGACUAGAAAUGAAACAGACUAGAAGGGACUUGAUUGUCAGUAAACAUUACUUUUUAUUGAAUGUUUUCUUCUAUUAUGGGACAGGACCUAACAUGUGGCUUCUAAAUAGACCUGUCUCCCAGUAGUUAUGGUGAAUACAUGUACUCAUGAGUUCUUACAUCAGUGAUGGUGUAGCCUAUCUUAUUUCCAUAUUAACAUUAACCUAUUAAGCUGCACCAUCCAAUAUCUUCAACAUUCACUCUCUCCAUCACUGACACACAGUGUGUACCAGCUACAAGAUGCACUGCAGAAACUCUCUAAGGCUUCUUCAAUAGCACUUUCCAAACCUCAAACCACUAUUACCUAGCAGAAUAAGGGCAAAGCUUCCCCUUUAAGCCAGUCAUCAUCCUGACUUGGAAAUAUAUUGUUGUUCAGCUGGUGUCAUUGGGUCAAAAUCAUAGAACUUCCUCCCUAACAGUAUUGUGGAUGCAUCUACUCCAAAAGGACUGGACCAGCUCAGAAGGGAGGUGAGCACCACCUUCUCAGGGGCCAUGAGGGAAGUGGAAUAACUGCUGGUCCAGUCAAGGAGGCCUACAUGCCUUGAAUCAUUACUUUUAAAAAAAAAAUUCUAAAUGAGGAACAAUUCCUUUAAAAAUUGGGGCAGUUGGUCACUCUGUUACUGAACGUACUCCAUUUUUCAGCAGGACAGUGCCUUCAAUGGAAGAAGAUCCAUUUGCCAGUGAAGAGGAAAGCUCACAGUAGGACCUCCUAAUUACCUCUCCAUAAGCAUGGCAAACCUAUUCCGUGUGUUUGACAUGUUGCCAGGGUUGGAGGGUUUGAGUAAAAUGAUAGAGGUGGAAUAGGCUGAGGUUAUUUUCUCUGAAUUGUCAGGGCUGAGGAUUGACUUUGUAAAAUCAUGAGGGGCAUGGUUAGGGUGAAUGGCCAAGGUCUUUUUCUCAAGAUAGGGAAUCCAGAACUA